UUUAUGGAGAGUUUGAUCCUGGCUCAGGAUGAACGCUGGCGGCGUGCCUAAUACAUGCAAGUCGAGCGAACGGACGAGAAGCUUGCUUCUCUGAUGUUAGCGGCGGACGGGUGAGUAACACGUGGAUAACCUACCUAUAAGACUGGGAUAACUUCGGGAAACCGGAGCUAAUACCGGAUAAUAUUUUGAACCGCAUGGUUCAAAAGUGAAAGACGGUCUUGCUGUCACUUAUAGAUGGAUCCGCGCUGCAUUAGCUAGUUGGUAAGGUAACGGCUUACCAAGGCAACGAUGCAUAGCCGACCUGAGAGGGUGAUCGGCCACACUGGAACUGAGACACGGUCCAGACUCCUACGGGAGGCAGCAGUAGGGAAUCUUCCGCAAUGGGCGAAAGCCUGACGGAGCAACGCCGCGUGAGUGAUGAAGGUCUUCGGAUCGUAAAACUCUGUUAUUAGGGAAGAACAUAUGUGUAAGUAACUGUGCACAUCUUGACGGUACCUAAUCAGAAAGCCACGGCUAACUACGUGCCAGCAGCCGCGGUAAUACGUAGGUGGCAAGCGUUAUCCGGAAUUAUUGGGCGUAAAGCGCGCGUAGGCGGUUUUUUAAGUCUGAUGUGAAAGCCCACGGCUCAACCGUGGAGGGUCAUUGGAAACUGGAAAACUUGAGUGCAGAAGAGGAAAGUGGAAUUCCAUGUGUAGCGGUGAAAUGCGCAGAGAU
rnacentral:rRNA from 1 species